GCGGAUAUCGUAUAAUGGCUAUUAUGUGACCUUCCCAAGGUUGAGACGGGAGUUCGAUUCUCCCUAUCCGCACCA
rnacentral:tRNA from 1 species